GAGAGGUUUCAAGAUUAUCCGCAGAGGAAAAUUAAUUUUCAAGAAGAUAAUCAGCCGAGAAUAUUUACUUAUCAAGAACUAAUAAUGGCAACUAGAGGUUUCUCCGAGGACAACCGUNNGUCUUGACGAGGGUCCUUGGGGUCAAGUCUAUAAGGGAGACCUAAAUGGUGAAAAGGUGACAGUUAAGAAAUUUAAUAAUCCUAGGAAGCAAGAAGAAGAAUACACG
rnacentral:misc_RNA from 1 species